rnacentral:tRNA from 1 species
GGUAAGGCAACGGACUCUGACUCCGUCAUUUCAAGGUUCGAAUCCUUGUAGCCCU